AAGUCGUAACAAGGUAACCGUAGGUGAACCUGCGGUUGGAUCAUUACGAAAAUGUAAGUGGGACCUUCACCUAACACCUGCUGGUGAUUGUCUCCAACCCCACACACCCUUUGUGAAUGUUUCCAAAAGGCUCCGCUCAUCCCAAGGCUCCAUUGUGGUUUAGUCUCACAUAACACGAGUCGAGCUACCAGCCAAUAUCAAACUCCUUUUACUUUUGUAUCAUUUACUGAAACCAAAUAGAGAAAACCAAAUGAGAAACAACUUUACACAACGGAUCUCUUGGCUCUC
rnacentral:misc_RNA from 1 species